UACGAAGGGGGCUAGCGUUGCUCGGAAUCACUGGGCGUAAAGGGCGCGUAGGCGGCGUUUUAAGUCGGGGGUGAAAGCCUGUGGCUCAACCACAGAAUGGCCUUCGAUACUGGGACGCUUGAGUAUGGUAGAGGUUGGUGGAACUGCGAGCGUAGAGGUGAAAAUUCGUAGAUAUUCGCAAGAACACCGGUGGCGAAGGCGGCCAACUGGACCAUUACUGACGCUGAGGCGCGAAAGCGUGGGAGCAACAGGAUAGAUACCGGAGUAAGUCAGACCAAGUCCACUGCUACGUAAC
rnacentral:rRNA from 1 species